rnacentral:lncRNA from 10 species
CAAGUUCUGAGUUCUUGUUUCCCACCAAGAAGAAUAAGGACAGAGAAAGCGUAAUCCGGAACAAAGCCAUACCUGUCUCCUGCCUCCUGACCUGCCUCACACUCCUCUACCUGAAUGCACUUGUGAACUUCAGAAUUUUGAAGCUCUGUCUCCUGACAUCACAGAUAGACAAGCACUGAACUUGGCAGGAAAAUCAGUAGGAGUAAGUGGCGGAGGCAUGGGACUGGCAGAGAUACGGCAGCCCCUGUGGAGAGGCUGUCUACAGAUAACAUAACAAUAACAACAGGAUCUGCGGGGUUCCUGCAUGCGUGUUGGCUUCACUGGAGAAACUAAUCAAGUGGUGCAGUUUGGACACAGAGACUGACACACAGGAAGAAUACCAUGUGAAGACUGGAGUUUUGCAUAGAGAAGCCAAGGAGCUACCAGAAGCUAGGAGAAUGGCCUGGAACAGACCUUUCCUUAGUGCCUUCAGAGAGAGCAUGGCGCUGCCAACAUCUUGAUCUCAGACUUCCAGCAUCCUGAAUUGUGAGAUAAAUUUCUGCUGUUUAAACCAUAUAAUUUGUGAUACUUUGCUAUGGCAACUGUCACAGCUAUUAUAAGCACCUAACCCUUUUUUUAAUCUUUUAAGAAACUUUUUGCUUUCAUCUACUUUUUUUGUUCUGGUUAUUCCAUAUUUUACUUUAAGAUUUAGUCUUCUGUCAAUAAAGCAAUAAUUUCAGAUCAAUUUCAAUAAAAAAUUAAUAAUGUCCAAACA